rnacentral:misc_RNA from 1 species
AAUCUUGGAUUCUUCAAUCGCUUUGAGAAGGGUUUCUUUGAUUUCUUCUCCUCUAUCAAGACUAUUAUCAUCAAUGAAUGUUGUGAUAUGUUUCCGACACAACGCAGCAUAAAUAUGACUGGUAAAAUUUGAGCGAGUAUCACUGCCUCUAAAACUAAGGAAAACAUCAUAGCUCAAUUUAGAGGGGAUGAAAGAAGAUGAACUAGAAGCCAUUUAUUUGGCAGGAAAGACAAGCAAUAUGAAAG